rnacentral:rRNA from 1 species
AUGGGUCAGUGACUUAAUUUAUUAAGCAAGCUUAAGCCAUCUAGGUGUAGGCGCAGCGAAAGCAAGUCUUAAUAGGGCGAUUAGUUUAAUGAAUUAGACCCGAAAACGAAUGAGCUUACCAUGAGCAGGUUGAAAGUUGGGUAACACCAACCGGAGGACCGAACCAGUUGACGUUGAAAAGUCUUUGGAUGACUUGUGGUAAGGGGUGAAAGGCCAACCAAAUUCGUAGAUAGCUGGUUUUCCGCGAAAACUAUUUAGGUAGUGCGUCGAAUAAAUAGAUGUUUAGAGGUAGAGCACUAAAUGGGCUAGGGGGAAGAGAUUCUUACCAAACCUAAUAAAACUCCGAAUGCUAGACAUUGUUCUUCGGCAGACAGACUGUGGGUGCUAAGGUCCAUGGUCGAGAGGGAAAGAGCCCAGACCACCAGAUAAGGUCCCAAAAUCAUGAUUAAGUGUGAAAGGAUGUGGAAAUUCCUUAACAGCCGGGAGGUUGGCUUAGAAGCAGCCAUCCUUUAAAGAUAGCGUAACAGCUCACCGGUCUAAUAGAGUUUCUGCGCCGAAGAUGUAACGGGGCUAAAAUCAUGUACCGAAUCUGUGGCUUUGCAAAGUUUUCGAACUUUGUAAGGGGUAGCGGAACGUUCUGUAAGCCUGUGAAGGGAUACCCGUGAGGGAUCCUGGAGGUAUCAGAAGUGCGAAUGCUGACAUAAGUAACGAUAAACGAAGUGAAAAACUUCGUCGCCGAAAAUCUAAGGGUUUCUAUGCAAGGUUAAUCCGCGUAGAGUUAGUCGGCACCUAAGGCGAGGGCGAAAGCCGUAGUCGAUGGAAACAAGGUUAAUAUUCCUUGACCUGAUGGUAGUGACGGAUUUCGUAAGUUGUGAGUUCUUAAUGGAUUGAACUUGCCGCGAAGAGGUCCCAAGAAAUAGCUCCAUCAUGAAGACCGUACCCGAAACCGACACAGGUAGAUUAAUAGAGUAUAUUUAGGCGCUUGAUUUAUGCACAGAAAAAAAUUCUUUUAACAGAAAAUUUAUCUAUGUUGUGAUCAA